GCCUAAGUGGCUCAGUUGGUUAAGUGUCUGACUUAGGUUCAGGUCAUGAUCUCGCGAUUUGUGGGUUCCAGCCCCACGUAGGGCU
rnacentral:tRNA from 1 species